rnacentral:rRNA from 1 species
CUUAUGCCGGCGACCGGCGGACGGGUGCGUAACGCGUAUGUAACCUACCUUUGACAGGGGGAUAACAUCGAGAAAUUGGUACUAAUACCCCAUAACAUCACCGGAGGCAUCUUCGGUGGUUGAAAACUCGGGUGGUCAGAGAUGGACAUGCGUUGUAUUAGCUAGUUGGUGAGGUAACGGCUCACCAAGGCGACGAUACAUAGGGGGACUGAGAGGUCAACCCCCCACAUUGGUACUGAGACACGGACCAAACUCCUACGGAAGGCAGCAG